UUCAGCGCUUCACCUCUGCCU
rnacentral:piRNA from 1 species